GACGAACGCUGACGGUGUGCUUUAGACAUGCAAGUCGAACGAGAAAGCCCUUCGGGUUAGUAAAGUGGCGAACGGGUGAGUAACACGUGGGCAAUCUGCCCCUCGCAGGGGGACAACCGGAGGAAACCCCGGCUAAUACCCCGUAAGUUCAAGGGAGGCAUCUCCCCUUGAAGAAAGGUAGCUUCGGCCAUCCGGCGAGGGAUGAGCCCGCGGUGCAUUAGCUAGUUGGUGGGGUAACGGCCCACCAAGGCGACGAUGCAUAGCUGGUCUGAGAGGAUGAUCAGCCACACUGGGACUGAGACACGGCCCAGACUCCUACGGGAGGCAGCAGUCGGGAAUCUUGCGCAAUGGGCGAAAGCCUGACGCAGCAACACCGUGUGUGUGAGGAAGG
rnacentral:rRNA from 1 species